UACGUAGGGGCCUAGCGUUGUCCGGAUUUAUUGGGCGUAAAGAGCUCGUAGGCGGCUUGGUAAGUCAGGUGUGAAAUCUCCACGCUCAACGUGGAGGGGCCACCUGAUACUGCCAUGGCUUGAGUCCGGUAGGGGAGUGUGGAAUUCCCGGUGUAGCGGUGAAAUGCGCAGAUAUCGGGAGGAACACCGGUGGCGAAGGCGGUUCUCUGGGCCUUACCUGACGCUGAGGAGCGAAAGCGUGGGGAGCGAACAGG
rnacentral:rRNA from 1 species